rnacentral:rRNA from 1 species
AAACCGUUCAGGGGUAAACCUAAGAAACCCAAAAGAUCGAACGGGGAGAUUCAUCGUCAGCGGCGCAGGCUUCGCGUCGGUGGGCGAUGCCUUGCGGUGCCGUUCCACGGCACUCGCGCAGGCACGCUACCGUGCGCCGAUGUCCGGCGUUCGUCGUCGUGCACUUCUCCCCUAGUAGGACGUCGCGACCCGCUGGGUGUCGGUCUACGGCCCGGGUAUGUUGACUGUCGCGACGCCGGUAAAACGGCACGCGGCAAACUCCCGGUCGCCCGGCCGGCUGCCCGGCGGUACACGCAACGGUAUCAGGCCGCGCCUCGCGCGCGUCGAGCCCGUCGCAAGCGAGCGCCACGGUACCCGGAGGUACGGACCUAGUGCCGUCCCCGGUCCUGGCCCGCUGUUAGCAGUACGGUGCAACCUUCGACAGGCCUCCUCUCGUUAACGCGAGAGAUACCGGUCGGCGACGCUACUGCUUUGGGUACUCUUAGGA